GAUGAACGCUGGCGGCAUGCUUUACACAUGCAAGUCGGACGGGAAAUGGUGUUUCCAGUGGCGGACGGGUGAGUAGCGCGUAAGAACCUGCCCUUGGGAGGGGAACAACAGCUGGAAACGGCUGCUAAUACCCCGUAGGCUGAGGAGCGAAAGGAGGAAUCCGCCCAAGGAGGGGCUCGCGUCUGAUUAGCUAGUUGGUGAGGUAAUAGCUUACCAAGGCCGUGAUCAGUAGCUGGUCCGAGAGGAUGAUCAGCCACACUGGGACUGAGACAAGGCCCAGACUCCUACGGGAGGCAGCAGUGGGGAAUUUUCCGCAAUGGGCGAAAGCCUGACGGAGCAAUGCCGCGUGGAGGUAAAAGGCCUACGGGUCAUGAACUUCUUUUCCUGGAGAAGAAACAAUGACGGUAGCUGGGGAAUAAGCAUCGGCUAACUCUGUG
rnacentral:rRNA from 1 species